GAUAGCCAAGAUUCCUGGAAUAUUCGUCAAAAUGAAUGGCUAUGGCCAGCCGCAGAAAAGUCACGGUCGUCGCCAACCACCUUUUUUUAGUCUCACCCCGAAUCGUUUUUCUCUCCUCCCACCCCUGGUCGAGCAGAAAAAUUAUACUCUCUCUCCCCUCGUUUCUCUUCUUAGUGAUGGCGUUGCCAGAUCGGCAAGCAGCAGCCGGACCAACAACAGAGUCGUCGUCGGCGGCGCCGACGGCGGCGAAUGGAUCCAUGCACGCACGACCUCAAGCUCUACUACGCCUUCAACGAACAAAUCUUAAUGGACCCUGAUAAAUGUCACACGUGUGGCAUGAAGCAAUUUCGCCCACACGUGUGAGGGCUGAAGGAGGUCAGGCUAAACGCUCUUCUAGCCACCCAUUGUGAGACGUCGGUUUUUUUAUUUCUUUCACACAUGCACGCAAACAAGGACAAAAACAGAUGAUAGCAGUAAGAAUCUUUUACGUUUUCCAAACUUUAAAAUAUUUUAUCUCUUAAAUAGAAAAUCUGAUUAAAAAUAUGUUUUCACCAUUAAAUCCGCCGUGACAACGUCAUCGAAAGUAGAUCCCAUAUCGAUAUGUUUUGACGAUAUUUUUUGGUGGUAAAAAGUUGCCAUGUAUACAGCGCAUAAAUUGUCAUGGUGUUUACACUAAAAAUGCCAUGAUAUGUUUCAAAAACUUUUUCUUCUAAAAGUAAAUUUUGACAUGUUAUAAAAAGGAUAAUUAAUAAACUAAACUUGCCAUGAAGAAUUACUAAAAUUUGCCAUGAUCCAUGAAAUAAUUUUGACAUGGUUCAUAAUUAAAAAUAAAUUCGUCGUCAAUUACUUUAAAAAUGCAUAGUCAGUGACUCAAAUUUGCCAUGAAUCAGAAACUAAAAUUGACAUGGUGAAUUACUUAAAUUUUCCAUGAUACAUGCACUACAAUUUGCCAGGAUUCAUACAAAAAAAUUCCAUGCUCAAAAUACUAGAAUUGCCAUGGUCAAAAUACUAAAAUUGCCGUGAUCUAUAAACUAAAUUUGCCAUGAUCCAUGAAUUAAAUUUGGCGUGGUUAAUUACUAAAAAUUGCCAUAGUCAAUUAAUAAAAUUUGCCAUGAAAAGUAGUUGAAAUGCAAUGGUAGCUUUAAAUCUAGAAGAAAAAAAUAAAUGAAACAUAUCAUAGCAACUUUAUUGUAAACACUAGGUAACUUCAUUGUAACAUCAUGGCAGCUUUUGGCCCAAAAAAAGGUCAUUGAAACAUAUCAAUAUGGGAUAUAGUUUUGAAGUUCUCUUCGAGACCGGUUUAACGAUGAAAGCGGAUUUUUAAUUAGAUGUUUUACUUAAGCGAUGAAAUAUUUUUUAAAUCCAAACAUCAAAAAAGUUUCGCUGAUGUCAUCUGUUUGAUGCGACAAAAUGGAUGGUAAUGAAGAUUCGUGCCACACGUGUGACACUUAUCAUUUGGGAUCUUAAUUUGUAUGAGGUAGUCAUGUACCAAAUAAUUAUCUAUUGUGACAAGAGAUAGCACUCAUUAAUAUACUGCACUGAAUACGCAAGCAAGUAUCAGCAAAAUUUAUAGGGGUGAUGCGUUGUGCACGUCUUUGAUUAUAAUUCUUCAGUGAAAAUGCUUCAGGGCCAUAGCAGUUUUUUUUCUAGUUUAAAUGAUUUCUAGAUUGUUGUAGAUAAUAUUGUCAAAUGGGUGGUUUUGAAAGAAAAAAAAUUGAUUUUACAGAAUA